rnacentral:rRNA from 1 species
ACUCUUCUGCUUGCAGAAGAUAGUAAAGUGGCGCACGGGUGAGUAACGCGUGGGUAAUCUACCUCUGAAUUGGGGAUAACCCGCCGAAAGGCGAGCUAAUACCGGAUAAUAUCUUUUUAACCUCGGUUUUUAAGAUCAAAGGUGGUCUCUACAUGUAAGCUACUGUUUGGAGAUGAGCCCGCGUACCAUUAGCUUGUUGGUAGGGUAAUGGCCUACCAAGGCCGCGAUGGUUAGCUGGUCUGAGAGGAUGAUCAGCCACACUGGAACUGACACACGGUCCAGACUCCUACGGGAGGCAGCAGUGAGGAAUUUUGCGCAAUGGGGGAAACCCUGACGCAGCAACGCCGCGUGAGUGAUGAAGGCUUUCGGGUCGUAAAGCUCUGUCAAGUGGGAAGAACCUGCUCGAUGUUAAUACCAUCUAGCACUGACGGUACCACUAAAGGAAGCACCGGCUAACUCCGUGCCAGCAGCCGCGGUAAUACGGGGGGUGCAAGCGUUAUUCGGAAUUAUUGGGCGUAAAGGGCGCGUAGGCGGUCUCUAAAGUCAGAUGUGAAAGCCCGGGGCUUAACCCCGGAAGUGCAUUUGAAACUCGGGGACUUGAGUAUGGGAGAGGGAAGUGGAAUUCCUGGUGUAGCGGUGAAAUGCGUANAUAUCAGGAGGAACACCAGUGGCGAAGGCGACUUCCUGGACCAAUACUGACGCUAAGGCGCGA